CCAACGGCCCUCUUUAGGGCCACAAAUAAGUAGCGAAUACUUUCAU
rfam:Oesophagostomum dentatum strain OD-Hann O_dentatum-1.0_Cont18683.3, whole genome shotgun sequence.